GGGGCUGAGGUAGACAAGAUUGCACAGUUUAUGCAGAUCUACAGAAGUAGGGAAGUAGGACAAUCAUAUUUCACUUCUGUUUGGACAACUUUAAUUGCCACAUUGCAUGCACUCUGGCUAAUGCUCAAAAUUAGACCUCAAGUGAUUCUCUGCAAUGGCCCUGGUACUUGUAUCCCACUAUGCGUAAUUGCAUUCAUAUUCAAGGUUCUGGGAAUUAGAUGGUCUUCAAUUUUUUAUGUGGAAAGCAUUGCAAGAGUGAAGAGAUUAUCAUUAAGUGGCUUGAUUUUAUACAAGUUAUACAUGGCUGAUCAGUUCUUUGUGCAAUGGCCACAACUUCAAAGGAUGUAUCCCCGCGCUCACUACGUCGGUUGUCUCAUGUAGUU
rnacentral:misc_RNA from 1 species